CAACCCCCAAGCCCUAUUUGCUUGACGUUGGGAGAUUACGGAGACGUAACUCCUGAAAUAUAGUGGCGGAGCCGGGUCGUGCUCUAAGCGUAGUAAUACACACUCUCGCUUCUGAAGCCGGCCUGGGUCUCGCCGUAAAACCCCCUAUAUUUUUUAUU
rnacentral:misc_RNA from 1 species